AUUGAACGCUGGCGGCAGGCCUAACACAUGCAAGUCGAGCGGAUGAAGGGAGCUUGCUCCUGGAUUCAGCGGCGGACGGGUGAGUAAUGCCUAGGAAUCUGCCUGGUAGUGGGGGAUAACGUCCGAAAACGGGCGCUAAUACCGCAUACGUCCUGAGGGAGAAAGUGGGGGAUCUUCGGACCUCGCGCUAUCAGAUGAGCCUAGGUCGGAUUAGCUAGUUGGUGGGGUAAAGGCCUACCAAGGCGACGAUCCGUAACUGGUCUGAGAGGAUGAUCAGUCACACUGGAACUGAGACACGGUCCAGACUCCUACGGGAGGCAGCAGUGGGGAAUAUUGGACAAUGGGCGAAAGCCUGAUCCAGCCAUGCCGCGUGUGUGAAGAAGGUCUUCGGAUUGUAAAGCACUUUAAGUUGGGAGGAAGGGCAGUAAGUUAAUACCUUGCUGUUUUGACGUUACCAACAGAAUAAGCACCGGCUAACUUCGU
rnacentral:rRNA from 1 species